rnacentral:misc_RNA from 1 species
GUGAAUCAUCAAAUUUUUGAACGCAAAUUGCACUCUCCGGUUUUCCGGGUGAGUAUGCCUGUUUGAGGGUCUGUUUAAAAAAUAAUCGAGGCUGCUUCUGUGGUGACGCUUCGGAAUUGGGUCAUCUUCCACCUUUCGGGGUUGUAAGAGACUGAAAAUUGUUCUUACUAUUUCUACGAUCGUGUGUAAGAAUUUGUCUUGUACGUUCGCUACAUCGAAAUCAUAGUAGGCGCGCAC